rnacentral:lncRNA from 1 species
CGUACUCCUUCGGAUAAGACUUUGAAGUGCGUGCCAAGAACUUCUAAAAUGCGUAACUUUCGCAUACGAGCUCUGUUUUUGAUGUUCUUUAUAUCCACGCGAAGGUGAGAAAAUAUUCUACAACUUCCAUUUAGACUCCGUCGGCUAAUUUUGACUUUACUUUUAAUUAUAUUUUAAUUAAUAGGUCGGGACACAAUAAUUUCGUUAAAAACCCAUAACUUCUUCGCUAUAACUCGGAUUUUAGUGUUCUUUAUAUGUACGAAAACCUUGAUACGAGUCCUACCACUUUAUUUAACCCAAAUAUGAUUUUAGGAAAGUUAAAUUUUGGAUUAAAUUUGUCUGGCGUUACAUUUUUAUUGUCUCAAAAUAUCGGGUUGUUAAAUCAUCCCCCUAUUAAAGGGAAUUUCGUCCUGAAAUUCGAGUUUUAAGUAGUAUUAACAAUCAUUCUACGGACUGGAGUUCUAUUUGAUACUCGUGUUCUUAAGCAAACAUUCGUCUUCGCCUGGCAUUCCAGUGAAUCUUUCACUAAUGGGAUACGACUUUGCUUCUUUCGUUUGACUUCACUGGUAUGAUAUGCUUUCCUUGUUGAAUGUGUGUUGUGUGUUUCCGUGUUUGGUGAGAGUAUUACACCUUGUACCCUGCAAGUGGUGUCUCCAGAUCUUCAGAGCAAUUAACGCUGCUUCUGAAUCAGGGUCAUGUGUCGAACAGUCAAAUUCUUGUGUCUUAAACUGUUUUGCAGUACAGGUAGUGAUCUUUCCUCUUGCAUAAGAACACAACCAAGCCCUUGGUUGGAUGCAUCGCAUUACAUCACGAAAUAUUAUAUCCCCUUUUGGGAGGGAUAAUAUUGGUGCGAUGCAUCAGACAUACUUUAGUGUUUGGAACGCUCUUUCUUGUUUACAAACAAGUCUGGUGAUCCUACAAGUGAGAAACUUGGCCUAAGAAAUCCUCUUAUGAGGAGUUCGCUAAGCUAUCUGGGAAGUUCCAGUAUAUUAGUUGGAGCUAGACGAUAAGGUGAUUUCGCUACUAGGGUAGCCCCUGGAACUAAGUCAAUUCUGAAUUCGUCUUGACGUUGUAUUGGUAGUCUCGUUUGUCCUUCUGGAAAGGUUUCGGGAAAACCGCGUACUUCUUGGAUGUUCUUGAAUGUCCUUCACUUCUUGGCACGUCUCGGCGAUGUGUGCAAGGUAUACAUGAUAUUCCUUUCGUAAGCAUUUUUGAGCUUGCAUACAGGAAAUGAUGAGAGGGUUUGUACUUGGUUCGUGGCUGUAAAUAACUAGGGCUUCGUUGUUAGGGAGGUUAGGACGAACUGCUUUAUCAAAGCACCUGAUGUUGGCUCGAUGUAGACUGAAUCAACUACUACUGAUUAUGAUGUCAAAAUUUGGGGGUGGAUUAGUUGUCGUGAAGGUCUAAAAGAUAGUAUGACUACUCAUGAAUUAGGCAAAAGGAUAGGUAUUUCUAUAUAUUUAUUCUCACGGAAGCACGAUCAUUCGUAGUCUUGGGCAGUCUUCGUCCUGAAGUUCAUAGUAGAACUCAUACCUGGUCCAUCCAUCACAGUCUCGGGUAUACGAGUCGUAUAUAAUUAAGGUUGAGAAGGUAGUCGAAUAAAUGAUUCUUCCUUUAAGCUCUCAUCCCAUCGAGGAAAAAAGAAGUUAAAUUGGAAUUGUCAAUUCCAAACUUGUAGAACCUUGAUUAUAUAUUAUCCCUAAGUAUACGUUCAUCAGCGAAGAUCAACCGUAUGGACCUUUGGAUUUGAACUUGAUGUAUAGUACAAGUGGUACUUCGGGGAUUUCUUUGGAAAGAAGAGAACUAUGAGGUAUUCUAUAUAUGGGUACUUCGGUGUUCUGGGAUGACGGCUUCGCUGAAAAGGCGAUUUCGAAGAAAGAGAUGUACGUAUGAAGCUGUUUUUGUGAGGAUCAAAUUGAAUCAAGUCGUAAGAUAGUGUUGGAGUCAUAAAGAAACUUAAAGACAUUAGUUUUGAAUAUAAAAUGUUUACAGACAAAACACAACCGUGCAACCAUCAACAGAGUUACAGUAUUUUAGACUACUACAAGUCUAUUGUCGUGAAUAAGGUAUACUAUAUAAGGCAAGUAUACAUAGUACGAGCAUCCCUAUAAUGACGGGAUCUCGCAAAGGAUAAGACUCUGAUUGUGCUAGUUUUGGAUGGUUUAUAGGUCUGUUACAAUGAAACGCCUAAAUUACAUUAACGUGGGUUCGUAGUAGGUUCUCCUGCAGCUGUGAUCCUGAGAAUCCUACCGUCUGCGCCAGAGUUCUUUGUUAUAGGACAAUCCUUCUUGAGAUGCCCUAUCUCCCCGCAUUGGUGGCAUGACUGGCUAGUACUAGCCUUGGUGGCGGGAGUGAGGUGUUUAGCCAGAGUUAUGUGGACACGAGUGCCUUCCUCAUUACACCACCUUGGAAACUGCUUUCUAAAGCGUUCUGCAGGAGUUUCCAUGUGUUGCUAUGGCAUGGCAAGUCUUUGGGGUCUCUUGCGCUCCUUUAGGGCUUGACGAUAUCGCCUCUUCCUUUCGGUCUUAUGGCUUCAUGAGUCUAUGACUGUUGCCAUUUUUUGUUUUCCCGGUUCGGUAUUACCAUCAGAACUCUCAACUUCUUUGUCGGUCUUGCUUGUGUUGCCUGAGUUGAUGUGCGUAAGGAAAUUUGUCACCGCAGCUGCUACUGCAGCUUGUAAUGAAGCGGCGUCGAUAUGAAGGAUAGGGUUUUCGUUGCUCGGCUGAUCGUUCCCGGAUGACGACAUGAUUCUGUAACAUGAAAAAUAAAGAUUUUUGUGAGCGAUUCUGGUUGACUUCUAGAUGUACUUCGAUUGCUUUAGGUAAAGAGUAAAAGUAUGUUCUCGCAAGUUUGACCUACAUCCCUAUGAUGCAGUCCUAGUACGGAUUGGAAGUAUGUUCAUGAUGGUUUGAUCUACAUCCCUAUGAUGCAAUCAUAAUAUAGAGUAGAAGUAUGUUUGUAGAAUGGUCUUUUAAGACGUUUGUCAUUCAAGCUGAGGUAUCAUUGGUUGGUGGAUAACAUGAUCCAUCCACUAGAAGGGACAUGGAAAUGCCUCCAGAGUUAAAUUACUAUAGUCCAAUGACUUGACUAAAGCAUAUUAAUGAAGGUAUGAUGUGGGUUUUUGAGCAAAAGGUGACACGAAAGUUAGCCGACUGUCAAUAUCAUCGAUUCUUUACGAUGUAAUAAGUUUAGGAAAAUUUGACUUUGAAGAAGGUCUUACAUGAUAUCCAGAGUAGAAUGGUUUUGGCCGCAUAAAGGCCUAACUAACAGUACUUACAGUACAAGAUAGUUUCAUAGAAAAUGUUGCAUCGGGCAUAGACAGAAAAAAUAGUUCAUUUAAACAAGGUAGGGAAAUAAAGCCUUUCUUUCUGGCGGAGGUCAUCCUUCUGGUGAACUCUCAGUUUAGCCAAUUAAUGUUCCAUUAUUAAGAAGGUGUCUUUCGUACACUCUCGGACGCACUCGUUUCUCUAUGACUUUGGCUCGUGUUUUAGCUAGUGCUUGCAGCAGGGUCUCAUGGUUUCUCUCAGAUCUCUCACGAGUGUUUUUAAGAUGAUUGGUGUAGAUGAUGUGCAUUCUUGUAUUGGCAUUUAACCUCUUCGGUAUAUUGGAGAGUCGUCCUGCCCUGAAUUUCGUUUCAAGCAACUCUACGGAUCAGGAUUGGUAGAACUUUGUCUGCUGAGCUUCCUUUGUAGCAGCUUCGGUCUCCUUUAGAUGGCAUAGGUUGAUCUUGCUCUUCGCUCCAUGUUUCCAAGCAUUCUACGCAAGGAAGUGUCGAGCCAUGAAGAGCUGGAUGAGGGUUAGGAUUUGAAUUGGGAGCCACCGGGGUUAGGUUCUCAUUCUCGAGUUCAGAGUUAUCAUCAUCCGAAAGGUCUUCAGUAUGGUGAUCAUUCAAAAGGGAUUGGAUGAUUAUUCUCUGGUUCUUCUCUGAACCAUCCAGCAUUGCCUUUGUUUGGGAAGUACGAGUUGUCGUGGGGAUGGGGUCCAACUAUGUUAUCUAUACGGUAAUUUGGGGUAUAAGAAUCUAACACAUAAGUAGUUUAUAGAAUACACAAAAUACUCCUAUAGUAUUUUAGGUUUACGUUCUAUUGUUCCCAUUGUGGUAUUGUGGGUAAGUUUUUAGACUUGUUGCAACUCACAACCACACUUAGGCACAUGCUAGUCAACCCUUGGAAAAUAUAGUUGAUCAGGCUAUAUCAUCCCAGUUUUGACUAUAUGUCUCUAAGUCUACUUGUGCUGCCCAACAAUCAUAAUACUUUUGUUCUGUCUUAGUGACACCAAUUUUAUUAUGAAUGCAGACAUGUAUAAUUACUUAAAUAUUUUAUUAUUUAAAAGUAUACACUCUUUAUCAGAGUAUUUUAAUCCCUAUUGUAUUUAUAGUUUGCAUAUCUUUUAUGGGUUGAUAUACUUAAUUCACUAUAAACAAUGCUCUGAUACCAAUCUGUCACACCCCAAAACCGAGAACGGUGGAAACGUUCUGGGGCGGAGGACGUCAUGUAAUGUAUCACAACAAUGCAAAGUAGUAAACAAGCAACAACAUCAUCCAUUGCAUUAAUAGUAUAAUUUUAAUUACAUUUGAGUUCUUUCAUAGUAUAAUUCUACAAAAUGAAUAAAAGGCGAGUCUUGAUUGCUCCGUCUUCGCAGAACCUGGUAGUCGUACCUGUCUAUCCGUAUCCUGGGAAUACAAGUUAUUUUGAAAGCGAGUAUCAGCAAUAAUGCUGGUGAGUUCAUAAGUAUUUAUGUGACUUUGAUUUGUAAAGCUGUAAAGAAAGACCUGUAAAUGUAUGAAGGAAAGUUUGUACCAACGAACAUGUUUGCAAGUAAUUGUAAACGUUUGAAAACCCUAGAAAAUCCCAUAUUUUCUACUAGUAUAAAUUGUAGUCUUCUACCAAGACUCGACUGUUUUGAAUGUUUGCUUCAGAAAUCCAAUAUUUGUUUAUAAGUGGGUGGUAGUUUAAAAGACCCAAAAUUGUACUACCAUGAUAUUUUUCAUGUCUAAAACAGUAGAUUUGUGUACAGUUAUAACUGCUAAGGUAUAUGAUAACUCCGUAAAUCAACGUGUUUUUAAUACUCCAUGUGAGUUUUAUAACCAUGCUAUUGACAUUGAUGGCCUGUAACAACGUUCUUCAGGCGUUGGAAUGUUAUGACAUUUGUCACCCCAGACCUGCCGGUCUAACUGUAGCUAACAGUUUAGGUGCGGGAUUGUCAAUCCCGUAUAGAUCUAUACACAAGUAUCACGCUCUCCCUCCAAGAGAUUAUGGUAUAUAAUACAGGACUUGAAAUGCAUACAUAAAUGUACGUUGAAGUUUGAAUAUCUCACAACUUAGUAUAAAACAGAUUUACGUAUGAAAAUGUCCAUCUGUUUUUAUAUGAAAAUACCUUCUUGAUAUGGAACUUGUAGUAUAUAAAAUGUUAUGAAUAUCUAGUGUACUAUCUCAUGUAAUUGUAUUCCUUGAAAUGGUAUGUCUUGAAGUUGUAUGCUUUUGUAAUUGUAUGUCUUAAGAUUAUAUGUCUUUUAAUUGUAUAUGAUUGUAUCUCUUCGCAUAGUAUGUAAUGUAUUUGUAUAGACUCAUGAAUAGACUGAAUCUUGUAUGAAUCCUGGUACUUGGAAUGGUAAAUAGUAUAUCUUAACUAUACCUAUUAUAGUUACUAGUAGUGUGUGUGUAUCAUCGAAAUAUGCCUUUGUUACCCAAAGGUACUGAACCAACUGAAUAGAAAACUUUUAUGUCUAUAUCUGUAUACAUGAGAUAUAUAUAUAUAUAUAUAUAUAUAUAUAUAUAUAUAUAUACAUAUAUAUAUAACCAUGCGUGUUUAGGCGUGCAUUUGACAAAUAAAAUAUAAAAGAAGUUUUGUAUAACCUUUGAGAAGUUUAAUAAAUAAUAAGAAGUGAUGACUUGGUGUCAGUUUAUAAAACGGUUUGAAAGUAGUUUGUUUGACAAGAAUAAUUUUAAGUAUAAGAAGACCUUUGUUUGAAAUACGAUUCUAAUGGUGUUUGAAAGGAAAUAGAAAGUAUGUAAGACAGUUUAAUAAAGAGUUUUAACAUGUAAAAAUGUUUGUCGUAAACUAUUAUAAUUUUUCCAAAAGUUCGUUUCAUUUGUAUAGUAAACCUUAGUGUGAUGCUAACUUGUAUUGUAAUGUGUAAUUUUUGUGAUGACAUAAAUGAACACAUGUACUCAAGGUAUAAAUAAACCGUUUGAUUCGUAUACGUAUAACCACCUAUUUAAUUUCAACGGAUAAUAUGAUAUCGUGUUAUGUUUUCCGUACGAAGGAUUUCAUAUAAUGGUUAUGAAUCACAUAUGUUUUACUUGAUAAAAAUGAGUAUUUAGUGAAUCUUUGAGUUACACAUGAUAAUAAUCGUUUGUUUACUUGUAUUCCCCCCUUAAAAGUGUAUAUUAAAACAAUAUUGAUAACACAUUUAAAAAUGUAGAUUAUAGGGGCAUGAACUCACCAAAGAAAGUGCGUGAUUUGAAGAAAACGAGAUUUUCCCGGGCGGCACCUCGACCGGAAAGUGAUGAGAUUCUCGGGAAUCUCGGGGCUUCGGACUUUCGUCGGGGCUUGAAUAUGAAACCGGGAAGUCGGGAUAUUGUCGGCAUGAAAAACGAGGCGAAAAUGAGAGAGAAUUGAAGUGUUUUUGUGAAAAUAGCCGGCACCCUCACAGCCUAUUUAUAGGAGCUGGAGGUCCUCGGUACGAAGGGCGUACUUCGGACUUACGCGGGGCGUUCCUCGUACGCGGGGCGUACUCCGAAGGUACGCGGGACGUUCGUUUGCGUCACAGCUUACCGCAUCCUCGGGCGAAGUGUCUGGUCAAUGUGGCUGAUCCGGAGCCUUGUAUCCGAGUACGCAGGGCGUACGAGGGUACGCAAGGCGUACUCCUUCGGAUAAGACUUUGAAGUGCGUGCCAAGAACUUCUAAAAUGCGUAACUUUCGCAUACGAGCUCCGUUUUUGACGUUCUUUAUAUCCACGCAAAGGUGAGAAAAUAUUCUACAACUUCCAUUUAGACUUCGUCGGCUAAUUUUGACUUUACUUUUAAUUAUAUUUUAAUUCAUAGGUCCGGACACGAUAAUUUCGUUAAAAAACCCAUAACUUCUUCGUUAUAACUCGGAUUUUAGUGUUCUUUAUAUGUACGAAAACCUUGAUACGAGUCCUACCACUUUAUUUAACCCAAAUAUGAUUUUAGGAAAGUUAAAUUUUGG